rnacentral:rRNA from 1 species
AAUCAACGCUGGCGGCGUGCCUCAGACAUGCAAGUCGAACGCUGCUGUUCGCCUUCGGGUGGACGAGCGGAGUGGCGGCACGGGUGGAGUAACACGUAGGUAAUCUACCUUUGGGUGGGGAAUAACAGCCGGAAACGGCUGCUAAUACCGCAUAAUGCAGCGGCAUCACAUGAUGACAGUUGUUAAAGCGAGGGAUCGUAAGACCUCGCGCCUGAAGAGGAGCCUGCGGCAGAUUAGGUAGUUGGUGAGGUAAUGGCUCACCAAGCCUGCGAUCUGUAACCGGCUUGAGAGGGCGGUCGGUCACACUGACACUGACAUA